rnacentral:lncRNA from 1 species
UACGUUUGUGCUAGCAAGCCAGAGGUGACCGUGCGGCUGAAUGUCCACAAGAUAGUGAAAGAGAAGUUCGCUAUGGUGGCACCGGAUGUCCAAAUAGAAGAUGGGAAAGGAACGAUCCUGAUAUCUUCAGAAGAGGGAGAGACAGAAGGUGCCUGCCUGCUCCUCCUCGCCUGGGCGUCUGCCUGAAGGAGGGACAACUGGGCUCCUGGGGGUUGCCUGUGUUAGUGUGCUGGUGCUCUUGCUGGUGCAGUCACGGUGGUGGCGCUUGUGGAGGCCCUGCAAGGUGGUGUUUGUCCGGAUUUGAAGGCUUUCAUGGCAUCGGCAUCCCAGUGCACAGACAUUGGCUGCUCAUACAUUGUAUACCUAUGUUCAAUUCCAAGGAUGCUGUCUGUAUCAUGGGCCCUAGCGCUAGGUUGGUGGUGAGCGUGGGCUUCAUUCAGGCUGUUAGCCACACUGGGGAGUGUAAAGUCUUAUUUUUUUUAAUCAAGAGUGGCAAGGUCUUGGUA